rnacentral:rRNA from 1 species
UUUAUCGGAGAGUUUGAUCCUGGCUCAGGACGAACGCUGGCGGCGUGCCUAAUACAUGCAAGUCGAGCGGACAGAUGGGAGCUUGCUCCCUGAUGUUAGCGGCGGACGGGUGAGUAACACGUGGGUAACCUGCCUGUAAGACUGGGAUAACUCCGGGAAACCGGGGCUAAUACCGGAUGGUUGUUUGAACCGCAUGGUUCAGACAUAAAAGGUGGCUUCGGCUACCACUUACAGAUGGACCCGCGGCGCAUUAGCUAGUUGGUGAGGUAACGGCUCACCAAGGCGACGAUGCGUAGCCGACCUGAGAGGGUGAUCGGCCACACUGGGACUGAGACACGGCCCAGACUCCUACGGGAGGCAGCAGUAGGGAAUCUUCCGCAAUGGACGAAAGUCUGACGGAGCAACGCCGCGUGAGUGAUGAAGGUUUUCGGAUCGUAAAGCUCUGUUGUUAGGGAAGAACAAG